GAUGAACGCUAGCUAUAGGCUUAACACAUGCAAGUCGAGGGGAAACGGCAUUAUGUGCUUGCACAUUUUGGACGUCGACCGGCGCACGGGUGAGUAUCGCGUAUCCAACCUGCCCUUUACUUGGGGAUACCCCGUUGAAAGACGGCCUAAUACCCGAUGUAAUUCAUUGAUGGCAUCAGAUAUGAAUAAAAGAUUUAUCGGUAAAGGAUGGGGAUGCGUCUGAUUAGCUUGUUGGUGAGGUAAAGGCUCACCAAGGCAACGAUCAGUAGGGGUUCUGAGAGGAAGGUCCCCCACAUUGGAACUGAGACACGGUCCAAACUCCUACGGGAGGCAGCAGUGAGGAAUAUUGGUCAAUGGGCGCAAGCCUGAACCAGCCAAGUAGCGUGCAGGAAGACGGCCCUAUGGGUUGUAAACUGCUUUUAUACGAGAAUAAUUUGAUGCACGUGUGCGUUAUUGCAUGUAUCGUAUGAAUAAGGACCGGCUAAUUCCGUGCCAGCAGCCGCGGUAAUACGGAAGGUCCAGGCGUUAUCCGGAUUUAUUGGGUUUAAAGGGAGUGUAGGCGGUUUGUUAAGCGUGUUGUGAAAUUUAGAUGCUCAACAUUUAACUUGCAGCGCGAACUGUCAGACUUGAGUACACGCAACGUAUGCGGAAUUCAUGGUGUAGCGGUGAAAUGCUUAGAUAUCAUGAAGAACUCCGAUUGCGAAGGCAGCAUACGGGAGUGUAACUGACGCUUAAGCUCGAAGGUGCGGGUAUCGAACAGG
rnacentral:rRNA from 1 species